UACAUAGUUCCUUAAGGUUUCCAAAGCACUUUAUGUGCAAUAUCAUUUGCUAAUAUUAAUAAUCUACUUAUGUGAAACUUGAAAGUUUAUAAGGUGUUUUACAUAUUAUUAUUAUUAUUAAUAAUCAUUUGCAUAGUAACUUAAAGUUUCCAAACACUUUACAUGUGAACUCUUUAGUUAAUAACAAUGGCAUUUAUGUAGAGCUUUAAAGCCUUUUCAUGUGAUGCCUCAUUGCUCAAUAAUAACAAAAGCACUAACGGUGAUAUUAACACUAACAUGAAGAAGAAGAGGAUCAAGGCUGGCUGGGGUCACAUUUUGAGUCUUGUCUCAGAUUCAUCCUGGUCAUAUGACCCCGGGCAAGUCACGAGAUCCAGGCACUUUUCUAAGACUUGAUAUAACAUAGCAAAGGGAGUUUACUCACUGGGAGUUUCCUAGAGAAAGGAAAUCACAGGUUGGAUGGGUCCAACAAAAACAACAACAAAAAAAGAAUUGAAAUUUACACAUUAUGUUAAGGUUUAUAAUGCAUUUUAUUUAUAUAUACUCUCAUUUGAAUUUUGCAAUAGCACUCAAAGGUAGUUACUAUAGGUAUUGUAUCCCCAUUAAAAGAAAACAAAAUAAUGCUUACCUUUAGUCUUAGAAUCAAUACUGGUUAUCAGUUCCAAGGCAGAAGAGAGGUAAGGGCUAAACAGUUGGCGUUAAAUGACUUGUCCAGGGUCACAUAAUUAGGAAGCAUCUGAGGUCAAAUUUGAACCCAGUAACUCCUGUUUCCAAGCCAAGCUCUCUGUCCACUGAGCUACCUAACAAUCUUAUCUCCAUUUCACAGAUGAGGGAAUUGAGGUCUCAGAGGGGUGACAGACCUGCCAUUGCCUCCACAGCUUGAACUUAUCAGAAUUGGGAUUCAAAUCUGGAUUGGGAAGAUUGGAGAUCUAGCUCAAGGCCAUGCUACCUACAUGAGUUGAAUGUGUCUUCCAUUUUACAGCCAAAAUGAUCUCUCAAUAUCUCUAACAAAUAAAUAAUACAGGAAUACCUGAGAUAUUUGAAGCUAACUGGGUCAAGUGCUCAGUGGUUCAGUGAAGACAAUGAGCCUGUCUGGGCAGGUGUUGGACUGGAUGACCUGUACCUGGCCCUGGAGAAAUGCUUAUUGACUGGUUGAAUGAUGGGUGAUUGUGUCAUUUUUUGUGACCAGAGGACAAGACCAAACCCAAAUCCCACCAUGCCCUGAUGACUGCCCCUUUGGACGAGCAUCUUUCCACUUAGGAUUGUGAACAUGGGCAGGAUGGAGCGUAUGGAGGACACUUCAUGUGAAAAAAACCUGAGACCUUUGAUGGACUUCAAGGCUGUUCCUUGGACAAUCAACACCAGGCACAUCCCUGACCCUAUACUUGAAGACUUUCCAAAUUGGUAGACUCUAACAGAGCUUUGGAGAACCCCAGCAUCACCUCCAUGCCAUGACGGAGCAUCAGAAGAUAAAGUGAAGGAAGAAAAUGAUAUUAAAUAAUAUACACACUUGAGGUGUGUGCUGGACUUUGAGUAACUCCUUUUGGGAAUAAUUGACAAGAUGCUGUUUGAUGUCUUCAGGAAUUAUCUUGUUUUCAGGAAAUUUGUUUCAACUUCUUGUUCCUUCACCCAAUUAUUUUGAUCCAAUCUAGAGAAGAGGGUGACCUGGUGAGUUCAGGACAAGGAAAGUUUUGUAAUUCCAGGCUGGGGUUAGAGAGGGAAAGGCAGGGAUGUGCUGACAAAUGUUUCACAACUGACUCUCUGGGGGAAAUACUGAUGCACUUUUCAUUUUAAUCUGAAUUAUGGAUGAAACAUUUCAUUUUUCUCCAUCAUUUUCUUAAGUCUGGACCAUCAAUAAAAUAGUAAAUCAAGCCUUGA